rnacentral:rRNA from 1 species
GUCUCAGUUCGGACUGUGGUCUGCAACCCGACCACACGAAGCUGGAAUCGCUAGUAAUCGCGAAUCAGAAUGUCGCGGUGAAUACGUUCCCGGGUCUUGUACACACCGCCCGUCACACCAUGGGAGUCAGCAACGCCCGAAGUCAGUGACCUAACCGAAAGGGAGGAGCUGCCGAAGGCGGGGCCGGUAACUGGGGUGAAGUCGUAACAAGGUAUC